rnacentral:lncRNA from 1 species
ACAAACUUUCUCAAAGACAACCUUUGAGUGCAUUCUGUUAAAAAAUUCUCUUCUCUAUUUUUCUUAAAAGAAACAAAUCCUAAGAGAGUCAUCAUCACUAUAGUCAUGGUUCUCUCACGUAGUCCUAUCAUCUUUCUCUCCCUUUUACUUACAUUUGUAGCUCUCAGUGCUGCUCAAUCUCCUAUGAUGUCCCCCACAAUGCCACCAUCUAAAAUGUCAAUGCCACCAAUGACCACCACUCCUCCACCUAUGGCCACCAUGUCACCACCACCAAUGGCCACCAUGUCACCACCACCAAUGGCACCGCCAAUGAGCCCAAUGGCGCCAUCAAUGAGCCCAAUGAGUCCAAUGGCACCAUCCAUGAGCCCAAUGGACUCACCACCAGCUCCUAUGGCACCGGGAAUGGCACCCAUGGGGUCAGGGCCAGCGCCGGGACCUAUGAAUGGUGGAAUGGCUCCUCCUCCUCCGUCUAAUGGUUUUGUUCAUGGAAGUAGCAUGGCUAUGGUAGCAAUUCUUGGGAGUGUAGCACUUUUGUUCUAAAUUUUAUUUGGUCAUUUAAUUUGCUUUCAUAUUGUUGUAGAUUACAAAUAAUUUACUUAUUUGUGUAUUUAUUUUGGUAAGCUCAUUGUAUUGUUGAUUUUGUGUGGAAUAGAGUGAGGAAUUUGAGGACGUCUGGUUGGAGAUUAUCAAAUGUUACAUUCUCUAUUGUGUAACAUUUUGAACAUUAGCUUAAUAAGACACUAUUCUCUCUUUCUUUCCAU